rnacentral:tRNA from 2 species
GGCCCGUUGGUCACGCGGUUAAGACACCGCCCUUUCACGGCGGUAACACGGGUUCGAAUCCCGUACGGGUCA